GACGAACGCUGGCGGCGUGCCUAACACAUGCAAGUCGAACGGAAAGGCCCUGCUUUUGUGUGGUGCUCGUUUGGCGAACGGGUGAGUAACACGCGAGUAACCUGCCCUUGACUUUGGGAUAACUCCUGGAAACAGGGGCUAUUAUCGGAUAGGAGCUCUUGCAGCACGGUGGUGGAAGGAAAGAUUCGGUGGUUGGGGCUCGAUUAGAAGGUUACCCGCUUCUUGGUGGGGUAGUGGCUUACAAAGCUUUCGACGGGUAGCCGGCCUGAGAGGGUGACCGGCCACAUUAGGACUGAGGUACGGCGCAGACUCCAACGGGAGGCAGCAGUGGGGAGUAUUGCACAAUGACCGGAAGCCUGAUGCAGCAACGCCGCGUGCGGGAUGACCGCCUUCGGGUUGUGAACCGCUUUCGCCUGUGACGAAGCGUGAGUGACGGUAAUGAGUAAAGAAGCACCGGCUAACUACGUG
rnacentral:rRNA from 1 species